UCGAAGGCAACACCAACAAGAUCAACUGCCUGCUGGUGUCGUUUCUGUCUGGCCUGUCGGCGCGCCUCUACACCGGCUGCAGUGACCUCACCAUCCACUGCUACAUCAUCAAGUCUUGGAUGCAGCUCAACGUGUUACAACCCGUGGGGGGUGAGCUGCCUGGGCGCGUCCCAGGAGGGAGCUCACGGAGGGUGCUGCUGGUGGCCUCCUACGACAGCACCAUCAGCGUGCGCAAUGCCAAGAGCAGCUUGCUGCUGUGCUCACUGGCGGGCCACACCAACACCAGCCUCAUGGGUCUUCCGGUCACGGCCAGCUGUGACACAGCCUGGGAUUGAACCCGGGUGGUGAAUGACCUACUCUUUAGCGGCUCCAGUGACACGUCUAUCCACGCCCACAACAGCCACAUGGGUGAGCUGGUCUGUAUCUAUAAGGUUCACAGCAACGCAGUCACGGCAUUGGCCAUCUUGGAUAAGGUCAUGGUGACAGCCUGCCUGGACAAGCUGGUGCACAUCUCCAAGAGUUCUCAGUUGUCUUGAAAGCACCACAAAUCCAGAGAAUGCCAGACUUUGAUGACAAAAUUUGCCCAUGAAGGACCACCACGCCACCUUCCUGUUCAAGUAAGCGCAGCACAACAAGGU
ensembl:lncRNA